rnacentral:rRNA from 1 species
AGAGUUUGAUCAUGGCUCAGGAUGAACGCUAGCGGCAGGCCUAAUACAUGCAAGUCGAACGAGGUUUAGUAGCAAUACUAAGCUUAGUGGCGCACGGGUGCGUAACGCGUAUGCAACCUACCUUUUACUGGGGUAUAGCCCGGGGAAACCCGGAUUAACACCGCAUAAUAUAUUUGGAUGGCAUCAUUUGAAUAUUAAAUCUACGGAGGUAAAAGAUGGGCAUGCGUCUGAUUAGCUAGUUGGUGAGGUAAUGGCUCACCAAGGCGACGAUCAGUCGGGGACCUGAGAGGGUGAUCCCCCACACUGGCACUGAGAUACGGGCCAGACUCCUACGGGAGGCAGCAGUAGGGAAUAUUGGGCAAUGGUGGAGACACUGACCCAGCCAUGCCGCGUGAAGGAAGAAGGCUUUCUGAGUUGUAAACUUCUUUUAUCUGGGAAUAAACGACCCUUGCGAGGGGCAUUGAAUGUACCAGAUGAAUAAGCACCGGCUAACUCCGUGCCAGCAGCCGCGGUAAUACGGAGGGUGCAAGCGUUGUCCGGAUUUAUUGGGUUUAAAGGGUGCGUAGGCGGUUUAAUAAGUCAGUGUUUAAAGUCAACAGCUUAACUGUUGGAAUGGCAUUGAUACUGUUAAACUUGAGUAAAGUUGAGGUAGGCGGAAUUGAAGGUGUAGCGGUGAAAUGCAUAGAUAUCUUCAAGAACACCAAUUGCGAAGGCAGCUUACUAAGCUUUAACUGACGCUGAGGCACGAAAGCGUGGGGAUCAAACAGGAUUAGAUACCCUAGUAGUCC